rnacentral:rRNA from 1 species
CCUACGGGUGGCAGCAGUAGGGAAUAUUGCUCAAUGGGGGAAACUCUGAAGCAGCAACGCCGCGUGGAGGAUGAAGGUUUUCGGAUUGUAAACUCCUUUUGUUAGAGAAGAUAAUGAUGGUAUCUCACGAAUAAGCACCGGCUAACUCCGUGCCAGCAGCCGCGGUAAUACGGAGGGUGCAAGCGUUAUUCGGAAUCACUGGGCGUAAAGAGCGCGUAGGCGGGAUAGCAAGUCAGAUGUGAAAUCCUAUGGCUUAACCAUAGAACUGCAGUUGAAACUGUUAUUCUAGAGUAUGGGAGAGGUAGGUGGAAUUCUUGGUGUAGGGGUAGAAUCCGUAGAGAUCAGGAGGAAUACUCAUUGCGAAGGCGACCUGCUAGAACAUAACUGACGCUGAUGCGCGAAAGCGUGGGGAGCAAACAGGAUUAGAUACCCGGGUAGUC